rnacentral:rRNA from 1 species
UACUGCAGUCGAGGGGCAGCACAGGUAGCAAUACUGGGUGGCGACCGGCAAACGGGUGCGGAACACGUACGUAACCUUCCUCUAAAUGGAGCAUAGCCCGAAGAAAUUCGGAUUAAUACUCCAUAAGAUUGUAGAGUGGCAUCACUCAGCAAUUAAAGAAAUUCGUUUAGAGAUGGGCGUGCGGCUGAUUAGGUAGUUGGUGAGGUAACGGCUCACCAAGCCGACGAUCAGUAACUGGCGUGAGAGCGCGACCAGUCACACGGGCACUGAGACACGGGCCCGACUCCUACGGGAGGCAGCAGUAAGGAAUAUUGGUCAAUGGACGCAAGUCUGAACCAGCCAUGCCGCGUGAAGGAUGAAGGUCCUCUGGAUUGUAAACUUCUUUUAUAUGGGAAGAAACCACUUUUAUCUAAAGGUGUUGACGGUACCAUAGGAAUAAGCACCGGCUAACUCCGCGCCAGCAGCCGCGGUAAUACGGAGGGUGCAAGCGUUAUCCGGAUUCACUGGGUUUAAAGGGUGCGUAGGCGGAUUAGUAAGUCCGUGGUGAAAUCUCCGAGCUUAACUCGGAAACUGCCGUGGAUACUAUUAAUCUUGAAUGUUGUGGAGGUUAGCGGAAUAUGUCAUGUAGCGGUGAAAUGCUUAGAUAUGACAUAGAACACCAAUUGCGAAGGCAGCUGGCUACACAAAUAUUGACGCUGAGGCACGAAAGCGUGGGGAUCAAACAGGAUUAGAUACCCUGGUAGUCCACGCCCUAAACGAUGAUUACUCGACAUUUGCGAUAUACAGUAAGUGUCUGAGCGAAAGCAUUAAGUAAUCCACCUGGGAAGUACGACCGCAAGGUUGAAACUCA